AGUGAACGCUGGCGGUAGGCCUAACACAUGCAAGUCGAACGGCAGCACAGUAAGAGCUUGCUCUUACGGGUGGCGAGUGGCGGACGGGUGAGGAAUACAUCGGAAUUUACUUUUUCGUGGGGGAUAACGUAGGGAAUCAUACGGCAAUACCGCAUACGACCUACGGGUGAAAGCAGGGGAUCUUCGGACCUUGCGCGAUUGAAUGAGGCGAUGUCGGAUUAGCUAGUUGGAGGGGUAAAGGCCCACCAAGGCGACGAUCCGUAGCUGGUCUGAGAGGAUGAUCAGCCACACUGGAACUGAGACACGGUCCAGACUCCUACGGGAGGCAGCAGUGGGGAAUAUUGGACAAUGGGCGCAAGCCUGAUCCAGCCAUACCGCGUGGGUGAAGAAGGCCUUCGGGUUGUAAAGCCCUUUUGUUGGGAAAGAAAAGCAGCAGGUUAAUACCCCGCUGUUCUGACGGUACCCAAAGAAUAAGCACCGGCUAACUUCGUG
rnacentral:rRNA from 1 species